rnacentral:rRNA from 1 species
GCAGUCGAGCGCACCUUCGGGUGAGCGGCGGACGGGUGAGUAACGCGUGGGAACGUGCCCUUCUCUGCGGAAUAGCCACUGGAAACGGUGAGUAAUACCGCAUACGCCCUUCGGGGGAAAGAUUUAUCGGAGAAGGAUCGGCCCGCGUUAGAUUAGGUAGUUGGUGGGGUAAUGGCCUACCAAGCCUACGAUCUAUAGCUGGUUUGAGAGGAUGAUCAGCCACACUGGGACUGAGACACGGCCCAGACUCCUACGGGAGGCAGCAGUGGGGAAUCUUAGACAAUGGGCGCAAGCCUGAUCUAGCCAUGCCGCGUGAGUGAUGAAGGCCUUAGGGUCGUAAAGCUCUUUCGCUGGGGAAGAUAAUGACUGUACCCAGUAAAGAAACCCCGGCUAACUCCGUGCCAGCAGCCGCGGUAAUACAGAGGGGGAUAGCGUUGUUCGGAAUUACUGGGCGUAAAGCGCGCGUAUGCGGAUCAUAAAGUUGGGGGUGAAAUCGCGCGGGCUCAACCUCGGAACUGCCUCCAAAACUCCUGUGUCUUGAGAUCGAGAGAGGUGAGUGGAAUUCCGAGUGUGGAGAUGACAUUCGUAGAUAUUCGGAGGAAC